GCCCUUGUAGCUCAGCAGGAUAGAGCGACCGCCUCCUAAGCGGUAGGUCGGAGGUUCGAAUCCUCUCAAGGGUGCCA
rnacentral:tRNA from 1 species